CACGCAGUAAACGAUGCCGACUAGGCGUGGGGGGAGUUGACCCCCUCCGUGCCGGAGCCAACGCGGGAAGUCGGCCGCCUGGGGAGUACGGCCGCAAGGCUAAAACUCAAAGGAAUUGACGGGGGCCCGCACAAGCGGCGGAGCGUGCGGUUUAAUUCGACGCAACGCGUAGAACCUUACCAGGGUUUGACAUGCACCUGCAGAGCCGGGAAACCGGUUGGCCUUCGAGGGUGGUGCACAGGUGC
rnacentral:rRNA from 1 species